ACGAACGCUGGCGGCGUGCCUAAUACAUGCCAGUAGAACGCACAGUUUAUACCGUAGCUUGCUACACCAUAGACUGUGAGUUGCGAACGGGUGAGUAACGCGUAGGUAACCUGCCUGGUAGCGGGGGAUAACUAUUGGAAACGAUAGCUAAUACCGCAUAAUAUUAAUUAUUGCAUGAUAAUUGAUUGAAAGAUGCAACUGCAUCACUACCAGAUGGACCUGCGUUGUAUUAGCUAGUAGGUGAGGUAACGGCUCACCUAGGCGACGAUACAUAGCCGACCUGAGAGGGUGAUCGGCCACACUGGGACUGAGACACGGCCCAGACUCCUACGGGAGGCAGCAGUAGGGAAUCUUCGGCAAUGGACGAAAGUCUGACCGAGCAACGCCGCGUGAGUGAAGAAGGUUUUCGGAUCGUAAAGCUCUGUUGUAAGAGAAGAACGGGUGUGAGAGUGGAAAGUUCACACUGUGACGGUAUCUUACCAGAAAGGGACGGCUAACUACGUG
rnacentral:rRNA from 1 species